rnacentral:rRNA from 1 species
UACGGGGGGGGCAAGCGUUGUUCGGAAUUACUGGGCGUAAAGGGCUCGUAGGCGGCCAACUAAGUCAGACGUGAAAUCCCUCGGCUUAACCGGGGAACUGCGUCUGAUACUGGAUGGCUUGAGAUUGGGAGAGGGAUGCGGAAUUCCAGGUGUAGCGGUGAAAUGCGUAGAUAUUCGCAAGAACACCAGUGGCGAAGGCGGCUCACUGGCCCGAUACUGACGCUGAGGCACGAAAGCGUGGGGAGCAAACAGG